rnacentral:rRNA from 1 species
GACGAACGCUGGCGGCGUGCUUAACACAUGCAAGUCGAACGGAAAGGCCCUGCUUUUGUAGUGUGCUCGAGUGGCGAACGGGGGAGUAACACGGGAGGAACCUCCCCUUGACUUUGGGAUAACGUCAGGGAACUGGGGCGAAUACAGGAUAGGAACUCCUGCAGCAUGUUGUGGGUUGGAAAGUUUCGGCGGUUGGGGAUGUUCUCGCGGCAUAUCAGCUUGUUGGUGGGGUAGUGGCUUACCAGGGCAUUGACGGGUAGCCGACCUGAGAGGGGGGCCGGCCACAUUGGGACUGAGAUACGGCCCAGACUCCUACGGUAGGCAGCGGUGGAGAAUAUUACACAGUAGGCGGACGCCAGAUGCGACGACGCCGCGUGCGGGAAAACGGGCUUCGAGUUGUAAACCAAUUUCGUCUGUGAUGAAGCGUGAUUGACGGUAAUGGAUAAGAAAGCACCGGCUAACUACGUG